rnacentral:lncRNA from 10 species
AACCCUCUGGGAGGUUAAGUAACUUGGCCAAAAUCCUCAGUGCAGUCGUGCAUUGGGUCGUAAAUAGAACUCGGAUCUGCUGAGGGGUCUGGGUGGUGAAGUCCCGCCCUGGGGUCUUCCCAAUGAGACGCAGACAUCCCCUUCCCUUAGAACGGGAGCCUGGGACCCAUAGCUUUACCGGGCAGAGGCAGGGAAAUGCCUGACUUUGGACUCCAGCAGCU